GCUGAGUUUGAUCCUGGCUCAGGACGAACGCUGGCGGCGUGCUUAACACAUGCAAGUCGAGCGGGAAACUUCGGUUUCCAGCGGCGGACGGGUGAGUAACACGUGGGCAACCUGCCUCACAAUGAGGGAUAGCCUUCCGAAAGGAAGAUUAAUACCUCAUAACACAAGAGAAACGCAUGUUUCUCUUGCCAAAGAAUUUCGUUGUGAGAUGGGCCCGCGGCAGCAUUAGCUUGUUGGUGAGGUAACGGCUCACCAAGGCUUCGAUGCGUAGCCGACCUGAGAGGGUGAUCGGCCACAUUGGAACUGAGACACGGUCCAGACUCCUACGGGAGGCAGCAGUGGGGAAUAUUGCACAAUGGAGGAAACUCUGAUGCAGCAACGCCGCGUGAGUGAUGAAGGUCUUCGGAUUGUAAAACUCUGUCUUCUGGGACGGAUAAUGACGGUACCAGAGGAGGAAGCCACGGC
rnacentral:rRNA from 1 species